AAAACCAUACUUUCAGGGAUCAUUUCUAUAGUUUCUUACUACAGAAGUUUCUCUGAACGUGUAGAGCACCAGAAACCACAAUGCGAAAGUAUGGUGUUCUCUCCUGAAUGGGAAGCCAGCUGCCAUUUGUUGUUCAUGACUGUUCUGCUGUUCUUCUGGAAGAGUAGAGAAGAGGUUGUAGUCUGAGUGGU
rnacentral:snoRNA from 1 species